GACGAACGCUGGCGGCGUGCUUAACACAUGCAAGUCGAACGGAAAGGCCCUGCUUUUGUGGGGUGCUCGAGUGGCGAACGGGUGAGUAACACGUGAGUAACCUGCCCUUGACUUUGUGAUAACUUCAGGAAACUGGGGCUAAUACCGGAUAGGAGCUCCUGCUGCAUGGUGGUGGUUGGAAAGUUUCGGCUGUUGGGGAUGGACUCGCGGCUUAUCAGCUUGUUGGUGGGGUAGUGGCUUACCAAGGCUUUGACGGGUAGCCGGCCUGAGAGGGUGACCGGCCACAUUGGGACUGAGAUACGGCCCAGAAUCCUACGGGAGGCAGCAGUGGGGAAUAUUGCACAAUGGGCGGAAGCCUGAUGCAGCAACGCCGCGUGCGGGAUGACGGCCUUCGGGUUGUAAACCGCUUUCGACUGUGACGAAGCGUGAGUGACGGUAAUGGGUAAAGAAGCACCGGCUAACUACGUG
rnacentral:rRNA from 1 species